CACAUCCUCCCGUGUGUUCUGUGGUGAAGUUGAGUGACUCUUUACCCCCAACCAGGAACAAUAUCUAACCGUUCACUCUUUGGCCCAGCCAAAGCCCAAUCUGGUAGUGAUUGAAAGGAUGACAUCAUCAGAGAGCAUGCUGUUGGAAGGAGAAUGUGGCAGGGAGCGCUGUGCGCGUGUGUGCUUAGGGACAAGGAUAAAGCCAAGAGGCCAGCAACCCACGAACUCCCUUGCAACAUCUCUGUAAAGCAGGAAGUGGAAGGUCCUCAGCAUACUAGGGAGUAUACAGCACAUUGUCGCCUGGAGACAUACCAGAUCACUCACUUAUCGGUCACUUACUAUACAUCUCUAAUUAAGUGCUGCAAUUUGAAUGCAGUGCCACUGGCUGUCCUCAUUUUACUGUAUACAACUUCGAGAUUUACAAAUUUAACUGCUUGUGUACAGCUUGAUAAAUGAGACUAAGUAAAAAAAAAUAAAAAUAAAAAAGAACAUAUUAUAAAGUGAAAAGAAUCAUGGCACAAUAACAUGGGAUUUAUUGAUAGGUUUGUUUUGAUUUGAACUUGAGAAGAACAGAAAACAAUUUGGUUUGAAACAGCUGACAAAAAUGGUUGGGAACCCAUGCGGAGGAGCACCAGAGCCACCCAGCUGUUGGCAGAUGAUAGCGUCAAGCUGUGUGUUUCUUCAGUGCCACUUUAACUCCUAAUAUGGAUAGUAUUCAUUCUAUCAUGUACACCAAUCUCUCUCUCUCUCUCUCUCUCUCUCUCUCUCUCUCUCUCUCUCUCUCUCUCUCUCUCUCUCUCUCUCUCUCUCUCUCUCUCUCUCUCUCUCUCUCUCUCUCUCUGUAUUCUGUGGACACUGACCAAUUUCACCUACCCUGUUAUUCUCAGUAGUCUUGUUAAAGUGUAACAUUAUCCUCAUCCUUCUUUCCCUGACCUGCCUGACACUAAUCUUUCUUUACUAAGCUUUUUCCAGAGCAGACUGAGUGAGUAAACUAGAUUUAAGAUGUAAAACAACACCAUUCAUAAAAACACAUAGAACUUCAAAUCUCUAAGUAAGCCCUGGCUUACUUUAGUUAUCUCCUGUAGUGAAGCAGUGAACAUCAGCAUAUGUGUAUGUGUGGAUUAUUUGCUAUCUUGGACCUUUACUGAACACUGUACAUGUUUUCCCUUGUUUCCUGUAAAGAAAAAGUAAAGGGAAAUGGGA